AGGGAGGUAGCCCAAAAUCCCACACAACAGAGUAGGCA
rnacentral:ncRNA from 1 species